GAACCUCUCGACCCCAUCUUUGCUGUAGUUUGCUAUAGUUUUCUUUCUCAGCCACGCUGUGCAUGUUCUCGGGACCUGAUCGACUUUGCCGGCUGGCGCAGGGCGCGAUGGCGCCCGAACAGGGACUCAGGAAUCGGAGCGCGACGACGGCCGCUGCCCGCCAGGAUUGAAGAUGCUGAAGCACCACGCUGGCUGCCAGAAAGGUUGGUACGCACGGCGGAGACGAUCUCUAGUAAACCAGAUGAGGAGAUUGACUAUUCAAGAACAUGAUAAAUUACCAUCUCGACAACAACUCCAGACAUUGAUGCGAGAGACACAGAAUCGUGCUGCUGUGCAGGGCAAUCCGAUAUCACCUUUAAGCUUCCUGAUAACCUUAUUAAUUAUCUUAAAUCAGAUUAAUACUAAAUACUAAUUCUAAAAAAUAUUCAAAUGCUUACUGGGCUUAUUUUCCUGAUCCUCCCCUUCUCCAACCGGUGGGCUGGGAGGGUCGGUCCAUUCCCAUAUACACUAAUGAUACUGUGGCUUUGGGUGGUUUUUCAGAUAAACAUAUUAUUCCUAAUCAAGUUAAUGUCUCUUAUCAUGGAGUGUUUGAUCGUUUACCUAUCUGUCUGUCUAGAUAUUUUAAUUCAACAGGAUGCCUUUUUGUUGGGGAGGCAAGAUAUGCCAAUUCUGACAGUAGUUGGAACCUGGACAUUCCUGGAGUAACAAAAAAAUCUGGAAUUCCUCAACGUCGUAAUGGGACUAGUCCUUUAGAUAUCCCUUUCUGUGACUUUGAAACAAGGGGAAGAGUCACUGCAGCACCAUGGAAACUGUGUCGAGAUGGAACUGCUAUGGUUUAUAACAUAUUUGGGACAAAUGAUUCACUGUGGGACUGGUCUCCAGACUCGGCCCGAAACCCUGGAGCUCAGGACAAUAGAAACUUUGCAUCUCGUAUUUGGAAUUUAGGUGGCUCUAAAGUGUUCCAAACAGAAAUCUGGAAAUUAGCUGCUGCCCUUGGAUGUGAGGGUUCCUACCUUCAGGUGGUAUCGAAAGUGAGACACGGUUAUUUGUGGAAUCUUACCAUGAGGUACCCUCCUGCAUGUGUGCCUCAACCUUAUGUUUUACUAGUAGGAUCUGUAAAUAUACAACCUGGGUUACGAAAUUAUGAUGUAACUUGUAACAAUUGUACUUUGACUAACUGCAUUAGGGGAAUUACUAAUCAAACUAGGGUUCUAGUCUUAAGACAGCCUGCUUUUGUUAUGGUUCCUGUAAAGAUCAAUGGGUCUUGGUAUGAUGAAAGAGGACUUGAACUUUGGAGAGAAGUAGAGGGUGCUUUAAUGCGUUAUCGCAGGGGAAUAGGGUUAAUAAUUCUGGGAUUUGUAGCUUUGGUAACCCUUAUUGCCUCCUCGAUUACUGCAGCCCUGACCCUGGCACAAUCAGUGCAAACUGCAACUUUUGUUAAUAAUCUGGCACAAAAUGUAUCUGUUACCCUGGGGACUCAAGAAAAUAUUGACAAAAAGCUAGAGGAUCGAUUGAAUGCCCUUUAUGAUGUUGUAAAAUUUUUAGGUGAAGAGGUUCAAAGUAUAAAGUUGAGAUUACGGGUACAAUA